UCAAGUUGCUCUCGCGUGCGC
rnacentral:misc_RNA from 1 species